UCCAGGGUGGCUGAGUGGUUAUAGCAUCAGGUCCAUUACCUGAUUAAAUCGUGGGUUCGAAUCGCACCCCUGGCA